UCAAUUUAACUCUUUUGUACCACACAAAUGCUCGCAUCAAAUGCUGCUAAUCUUUGUUGAGGAAAGUGAUGAUGAGCUCAUUCACCUGCUCUGGUAGUUGUUCUUGAACAAAGUGAUUCCCUUCUGGCAUGAAAGUGAUGUCCAGAUUAGGCAUAAACUGCUUCACUAUCCCUUUCUUCAUGUACUCCUCCAUUCCUGGGAAUUUCAUAAAAUAGUCCUUCUCCCCCAUUAUCAGCAAUGAUGGAGCUGUCACUUUUGGAUUGGUUAUACCAUAAUCCAAUUGAG
rnacentral:lncRNA from 1 species